UUCACUUGUCACAUUUUCAAUAGACGACGUCCUUUCAACAUGUUAAGAAAUUUGUUGAGUGCAUUAUUGCUUGUAUUUGUUCUGUUUGAGGCCAGUUUUGGAAUGACAACAACAAAAAAACCACAUCAAAAUGAAAUGGACAACUAUAGAUUUUAUUAUGAUAGUCAGAGUCAUAUGCUUGGCAUGGUAAAUAUUUACCAACAUGGAAUUACAUGUUAUAUAAUGAACCUAUCACAAGACGAACAGCAACUAGUACAUACAGUAGAUGGAAAGACUAGACUUGAGCUAAAGAUGCUUACCCACUUAAGUUCAGCCACUACAUCAAUGACACUGGACGCGCUUACACAAUCAAGUCAAAGACUCGGUCAUGCUUGUACAAAAGCCACAAACAUAUAUUCCAUGACAAUUUAAAAAAAAACGUAAAGCUUCUUGUUAUAUAUAGAUAAAUUAUUAAAACAAUGUACUCCG